rnacentral:rRNA from 1 species
GACGAACGCUGGCGGCGUGCUUAACACAUGCAAGUCGAACGGAAAGGCCCUGCUUUUGUGGGGUGCUCGAGUGGCGAACGGGUGGGUAACACGUGAGUAACCUGCCCUUGACUUUGGGAUAACUUCAGGAAACUGGUGCUAAUACCGGAUAGGAGCUCCUGCUGCAUGGUGGGGGUUGGAAAGUUUCGGCGGUUGGGGAUGGACUCGCGGCUUAUCAGCUUGUUGGUGGGGUAGUGGCUUACCAAGGCUUUGACGGGUAGCCGGCCUGAGAGGGUGACCGGCCACAUUGGGACUGAGAUACGGCCCAGACUCCUACGGGAGGCAGCAGUGGGGAAUAUUGCACAAUGGGCGGAAGCCUGAUGCAGCAACGCCGCGUGCGGGAUGACGGCCUUCGGGUUGUAAACCGCUUUCGCCUGUGACGAAGCGUGAGUGACGGUAAUGGGUAAAGAAGCACCGGCUAACUACGUG